GAUAAGGUUAAGUGAAUAAGGGCGCACGGUGGAUGCCUUGGCACUAGGAGCCGAUGAAGGACGGGACUAACACCGAUAUGCUUUGGGGAGCUGUACGUAAGCUAUGAUCCAGAGAUUUCCGAAUGGGGGAACCCAACAUCUUUAAUAGGAUGUUACGAUUGUGUGAAUACAUAGCACAUCCGAGGUAGACGCAGAGAACU
rnacentral:rRNA from 1 species